rnacentral:misc_RNA from 1 species
AAGUCGUAACAAGGUUUCCGUAGGUGAACCUGCGGAAGGAUCAUUAUUGAAUAAACCUGAUGUAGUUGUAGCUGGCUCUCUCGGGAGCAUGUGCUCGCUCAUCAUCUUUAUAUUUCCACCUGUGCACCUUUUGUAGACCCAGGCGGCUUGAGCAAUCAAGUCAUUUGGGCCUAUGUUUAUCAUAUACCCCAAGUAUGUAUUAGAAUGUAUCAAUGGGCUUCGUGCCUAUAAACACUAUACAACUUUCAGCAACGGAUCUCUUGGCUCUC